AGUGGCGCACGGGUGAGUAACGCGUGGGUAACCUGUCCUUGAAUUGGGGAUAACUCCUCGAAAGGGGAGUUAAUACCGAAUAAUAUUCCCCACGGCAAAGGUGCGUUUAAGGAUGGGCCCGCGUACCAUUAGCUCGUUGGUAGGGUAAUGGCCUACCAAGGCUACGAUGGUUAGCUGGUCUGAGAGGAUGGCCAGCCACGCUGGAACUGGGACACGGUCCAGACUCCUACGGGAGGCAGCAGUGGGGAAUCUUGCGCAAUGGGGGAAACCCUGACGCAGCAACGCCGCGUGGGUGAUGAAGGCCUUCGGGUCGUAAAGCCCUGUCUGGUGGGAAGAAUGACGGUACCACCGAAGGAAGCACCGGCUAACUCCGUGCCAGCAGCCGCGGUAAUACGGAGGGUGCAAGCGUUGUUCGGAAUUAUUGGGCGUAAAGCGCGUGUAGGCGGUCGAGUAAGUCAGAUGUGAAAGCCUUCUGCUUAACAGAAGAAGUGCAUUUGAAAC
rnacentral:rRNA from 1 species